rnacentral:rRNA from 1 species
AGCGAACGCUGGCGGCAGGCCUAACACAUGCAAGUCGAACGGACCUUUCGGGGUUAGUGGCGGACGGGUGAGUAACACGUGGGAACGUGCCUUUAGGUUCGGAAUAAGCUCGGGAAACUGGGUCUAAUACCGAAUGUGCCCUUCGGGGAAAGAUUUAUCGCCUUUAGAGCGGCCCGCGUCUGAUUAGCUAGUUGGUGGUGUAAUGGACCACCAAGGCGACGAUCAGUAGCUGGUCUGAGAGGAUGACCAGCCACAUUGGGACUGAGACACGGCCCAAACUCCUACGGGAGGCAGCAGUGGGGAAUCUUGCGCAAUGGGCGAAAGCCUGACGCAGCCAUGCCGCGUGUAUGAUGAAGGUCUUAGGAUUGUAAAAUACUUUCACCGGUGAAGAUAAUGACUGUAGCCGGAGAAGAAGCCCCGGCUAACUUCGUG